UACGUAGGGUGCAAGCGUUGUCCCGGAAUUAUUGGGCGUAAAGAGCUUGUAGGCGGUUUGUCGCGUCUGCUGUGAAAUUUCGGGGCUCAACCCCGAACUUGCAGUGGGUACGGGCAGACUUGAGUUCGGUAGGGGAGACUGGAAUUCCUGGUGUAGCGGUGGAAUGCGCAGAUAUCAGGAGGAACACCGGUGGCGAAGGCGGGUCUCUGGCCGACAUUGACGCUGAGGAGCGAAAGCGUGGGGGAGCGAACAGG
rnacentral:rRNA from 1 species